AACGCACAUUGCGCCUGCCAGCAUUCUGGCAGGCAUGCCUGUCCGAGCGUCAUUUCCCCCCUCACGCGCCCCGUUGCGCGCUGGUGUUGGGGCUCCUCCGCCUGGCGGAGGGCCCUGAAAGCGAGUGGCGGGCCUGGCUGGUUGGCUCCGAGCGCAGUACCGAACGCACCGUUCCCCCUCUCGCUCGCGGGCCCCGCCGGCGCCCAGCCGUCAAAACCGCAGCGCGCCCCGCGUGCGCUGCACUUUUACAAGGUUGACCUCGGAUCAGGUAGGACUACCCGCUGAACUUAA
rnacentral:misc_RNA from 1 species